rnacentral:rRNA from 1 species
AGGACGAACGCUGGCGGCGUGCCUCAUACAUGCAAGUGGAGCGACGAACCAGGCUUCGGCCUGGGGCAAAGCCGCGAACGGGUGAGUAACACGUGGGUAACCUGCCCCGAUGAUUGGGACAACUCGAGGAAACUCGGGCUAAUACCAAAUGUGCUCCUGGCCGUGAUGGCCAGGCGGAAAGGAAGCUUCGGCCUCCGCAUCGGGAUGGGCCCGCGGCCCAUUAGCUAGUUGGUGGGGUAAUGGCCUACCAAGGCGACGAUGGGUAGCUGGUCUGAGAGGACGAUCAGCCACACUGGGACUGAGACACGGCCCAGACUCCUACGGGAGGCAGCAGUUGGGAAUCUUGGACAAUGGGGGAAACCCUGAUCCAGCCAUGCCGCGUGAGUGAUGAAGGCCUUCGGGUUGUAAACUCUUUCGACGGGGACGAUAAUGACGGUACCGUAGAAGAAGCUCCGGCUAACUUCGUGCCAGCAGCCGC